UACGUAGGGUGCAAGCGUUGUCCGGAAUUAUUGGGCGUAAAGGGCUCGUAGGCGGUCCGUCACGUCGGGAGUGAAAACUUGGGCUUGAACCCCAAGCCUGCUUCCGAUACGGGCGGACUAGAGUACGGAAGAGGCGAGUGGAAUUCCCGGUGUAGCGGUGAAAUGCGCAGAUAUCGGGAGGAACACCAAUUGCGAAGGCAGCUCGCUACACAUAUAUUGACGCUGAGGCACGAAAGCGUGGGGAUCAAACAGG
rnacentral:rRNA from 1 species